rnacentral:rRNA from 1 species
UACAGAGGUCUCAAGCGUUGUUCGGAUUCAUUGGGCGUAAAGGGUGCGUAGGCGGCGCGGUAAGUCGGGUGUGAAAUCUCGGAGCUUAACUCCGAAACUGCAUUCGAUACUGCCGUGCUUGAGGACUGGAGAGGAGACUGGAAUUUACGGUGUAGCGGUGAAAUGCGUAGAUAUCGUAAGGAAGACCAGUGGCGAAGGCGGCUCACUGGACCAUAACUGACGCUGAUGCACGAAAGCUGGGGGAGCAAACAGG